rnacentral:rRNA from 1 species
GAUGAACGCUGGCGGCGUGCCUAAUACAUGCAAGUCGAGCGAACGGACGAGAAGCUUGCUUCUCUGAUGUUAGCGGCGGACGGGUGAGUAACACGUGGAUAACCUACCUAUAAGACUGGGAUAACUUCGGGAAACCGGAGCUAAUACCGGAUAAUAUUUUGAACCGCAUGGUUCAAUAGUGAAAGACGGUCUUGCUGUCACUUAUAGAUGGAUCCGCGCUGCAUUAGCUAGUUGGUAAGGUAACGGCUUACCAAGGCAACGAUGCAUAGCCGACCUGAGAGGGUGAUCGGCCACACUGGAACGGGGACACGGUCCAGACGCCUACGGGAGGCAGCAGUAGGGAAUCUGCCGCAAUGGGCGAAAGCCUGACGGAGCAACGCCGCGUGAGUGGUGAAGGUCCUCGGAUCGUAAAACUCUGUUAUUAGGGAAGAACAUAUGUGUAAGUAACUGUGCACAUCUUGACGGUACCUAAUCAGAAAGCCACGGCUAACUACGUG